rfam:Microsporum canis CBS 113480 supercont1.6 genomic scaffold, whole genome shotgun sequence.
UUAUCUGAUGAGACAAUGAUAUUCGCUGUGUUCUUUCCGAGUCAUACUUUGACGAUACACAUCAUCACCUUGGAGACCUGAUCC